rnacentral:rRNA from 1 species
UGGCGGCGUGCUUAACACAUGCAAGUCGAACGCUGAAGCUCCCAGCUUGCUGGGGGUGGAUGAGUGGCGAACGGGUGAGUACCACGUGAGUAACCUGCCCUUGACUCUGGGAUAAGCCCGGGAAACUGGGUCUAAUACUGGAUAGGACUGGCCAUCGCAUGGUGGUUGGUUGAAAGCUUUUUGCGGUUUUUGGAUGGACUCGCGGCCUAUCAGCUUGUUGGUGGGGUAAUGGCCUACCAAGGCUUUGACGGGUAGCCGGCCUGAGAGGGUGACCGGCCACACUGGGACUGAGACACGGCCCAGACUCCUACGGGAGGCAGCAGUGGGGGAUAUUGCACAAUGGGCGCAAGCCUGAUGCAGCGACGCCGCGUGAGGGAUGACGGCCUUCGGGUUGUAAACCUCUUUCAGUUGGGAAGAAGCCUUUCGGGGUGACGGUACCUUCAGAAGAAGCACCGGCUAACUACGUGCCAGCAGCAGC